rnacentral:rRNA from 1 species
UGCUAAUACCGCAUAAGACCACAGUACUGCAUGGUACAGGGGUCAAAGGACGAGAUUCGGUAUAGGAUGGGCUCGCGUCCCAUUAGCUAGUUGGAGGUGUAACGGACCACCAAGGCGACGAUGGGUAGCCGACCUGAGAGGGUGACCGGCCACACUGGGACUGAGACACGGGCCCAGACUCCUACGGGAGGCAGCAGGUAGGGAAUAUUGGACAAUGGGGGGAACCCUGAUCCAGCAACGCCGCGUGAAGGAAGAAGGUCUUCGGAUUGUAAACUUAUGUUGUCGGGGACGAAGCGAGACGGUACCCGACGAGGAAGCCCCGGCUAACUACGUG